rnacentral:rRNA from 1 species
ACAUACGACCACAGGCAGUAGAGAAUACCGCGUCCCGUUUGCUCCGCAGCUGUCAAGCUACUGACGCAGAUUAGUAGUUGGGUGACGACCAGCGAACACCGGCUGUUGUAUGUU